rnacentral:lncRNA from 1 species
UGAAGGAAGGGGCGAUUCGGGCUAAAGAAUAACGCAUUUAGAAAGAAGAACAUCACUUAGUUUUCUCCAUAAAAAGUUUUCUUUGGCAUGGUCGACAGGUUUAAUUUUCUUAAGCAGAGAAGAGAAAGAAGGUGUUGGCUUCAAGAACCACGUCAUACAGGAUGUUUAUCUACAUACAAAUUGCCUUGUACCGUUGGCUAACAUGGUGUCAUAUGUGCAUUGGCUAAGCUCAUAUGCCUCGCAAUACUCAUAUAGCCUUUUUGAAAUCUUGCCAUGCAAGUAGAGAUCUCCCUCGUCAUUUUUGUGUCAUGUGAGCCCUAACUUUUAUUCAUUCCCAAGCCUUUCAUUUCUUCUUAAAUUCAGAUAUUCAAAACUAGCAGAGCUGAAGAACGAUUAAAUGCAAGCCUAAGGACGACGAUAAACUUCCUGAAGUUAUGUAAGCAGAAGUGUAGAUAUAUACCAAAUUUCUCAUGAACAUUUUGGAAAUACUCAAUACGAUACUAACAUAGGUGUUGCUAAGGAACCCAGAGAAUAAUAUUGAAGGAGCAAAUAAAGAACUACUAAUCUCCAGAAAAUGGAAGUGCUUUGGUAGAUCCAUUUAUGCUUGUGAUGAACAAAGAGUAUAAGGAUACCGUCGACUUUAUGGUAGAGGCACUACCAAAAAAAUCAUAAAAAGUGGAUUGGAUGGUUGUGAUACACCAUACAUGAUUCUAAGGGGCUUACGGAAUCAUUCAAAGCUAGUAUUGAAGUUAAAAGACUUGUUUGUAUGAAAGGCUAAAAGAGAUAAUGGAAGAAAAAGGCCUAGUUAGAAGCUGUGUGGAAAGACAAUUGACAACCAAUGAGAAGAUUUUGAAGCAACGUUGUGGAGGCUUAAAAACG